AUUGAACGCUGGCGGCAUGCCUUACACAUGCAAGUCGAACGGUAACAGGUCUUCGGACGCUGACGAGUGGCGCACGGGUGAGUAAUACAUCGGAACGUGCCCGAUCGUGGGGGAUAACGAGGCGAAAGCUUUGCUAAUACCGCAUACGAUCUACGGAUGAAAGCGGGGGAUCUUCGGACCUCGCGCGGACGGAGCGGCCGAUGGCAGAUUAGGUAGUUGGUGGGAUAAAAGCUUACCAAGCCGACGAUCUGUAGCUGGUCUGAGAGGAUGAUCAGCCACACUGGGACUGAGACACGGCCCAGACUCCUACGGGAGGCAGCAGUGGGGAAUUUUGGACAAUGGGCGAAAGCCUGAUCCAGCCAUGCCGCGUGCAGGAUGAAGGCCUUCGGGUUGUAAACUGCUUUUGUACGGAACGAAAAGCCUCUUUCUAAUAAAGAGGGGUCAUGACGGUACCGGAAGAAUAAGCACCGGCUAACUACGUG
rnacentral:rRNA from 1 species